GGACUACAGGGGUUUCUAAUCCGGUUUGCUCCCCACGCUUUCGCUCCUCAGUGUCAGGUUAAGCCCAGAGAAUCGCUUUCGCCACUGGUGUUCCUCCCGAUAUCUACGCAUUUCACCACUACACCGGGAAUUCCAUUCUCCUCUGCUUCCCUCAAGCCUGUGAGUAUCUCUUGACCCCUCCCAGUUAAGCCGGGAGAUUUCACAAAAGACUUUACUGGCCACCUACAAGCCCUUUACGCCCAAUAAAUCCGGAUAACGCUUGCCUCCUACGUAUUACCGCGGCUGCUGGCAC
rnacentral:rRNA from 1 species